CUCAAAGGUAUAUUUGUGUGGCUCAUGUAUUUGACUGAUGAAAUAAUGCAGAUAUGGAAAUGCAGCAAGUAUAUGGACCCUUGCUAAAAAAUAUACGGAUAAUUUCUCAUCAUGUGAUUAUCCAAUUAGUUUAUAUUAAAAAGAAAAGGCAUCAGCAUUACAGCAUCAUUUGUUCGAGGGAAUGAAAUAAUUAAACAAUAUAUAUGAUCUAGGGUUUAGAAAAUUAUUUUAGGCCAAGCCGGUGGUUACCGACAAAAUGUUUCAUCUUUUUACGUGUAGCAAAACAAUAGUUUAAAUUUCCCUUGAAAUUUCCCAAACCCCAUCACGUUUUAAGCUUCAUGUACAUCGAGAGUUUUUGUGCAUGUAAUAUUCCCAAAUUCUUGGUGAGUGGUACUCCAAAAAGUACA